AUUGAACGCUGGCGGCAGGCCUAACACAUGCAAGUCGAGCGGGGUUUUCGGACCUAGCGGCGGACGGGUGAGUAAUGCGUAGGAAGCUACCCGAUAGAGGGGGAUACCAGUUGGAAACGACUGUUAAUACCGCAUAAUGUCUACGGACCAAAGUGUGGGACCUUCGGGCCACAUGCUAUCGGAUGCGCCUACGUGGGAUUAGCUAGUUGGUGAGGUAAUGGCUCACCAAGGCGACGAUCCCUAGCUGGUUGGAGAGGAUGAUCAGCCACACUGGAACGGAGACACGGUCCGGACUCCUACGGGAGGCAGCGGUGGGGAAUAUUGGACAAUGGGCGCAAGCCUGAUCCAGCCAUGCCGCGUGUGUGAAGAAGGCCUUCGGGUUGUAAAGCACUUUCAGUAGGGAGGAAGGGUUAAGUGUUAAUAGUACUUAACUUUGACGUUACCUACAGAAGAAGCACCGGCUAACUCUGUGCCAGCCGCCGCCGUAAUAC
rnacentral:rRNA from 1 species